CGCGGAAAGUAUUAACGGAAAAAUACUGAUGGGGUCUCAUAACCCGUAGGUCGCAAGUUCAAAUCUUGCUUCCGCAACCA
rnacentral:tRNA from 1 species